GACGAACGCUGGCGGCGUGCUUAACACAUGCAAGUCGAACGGAAAGGCCCUGCUUUUGUGGGGUGCUCGAGUGGCGAACGGGUGAGUAACACGUGAGUAACCUGCCCUUGACUUUGGGAUAACUUCAGGAAACUGGGGCUAAUACCGGAUAGGAGCUCCUGCUGCAUGGUGGGGGUUGGAAAGUUUCGGCGGUUGGGGAUGGACUCGCGGCUUAUCCGCUUGUUGGUGGGGUAGUGGCUUACCAAGGCUUUGACGGGUAGCCGGCCUGAGAGGGUGACCGGGCACAUUGGGACUGAGAUACGGCGCAGACUCGUACGGGAGGCAGCAGUGGGGAAUAUUGCACAAUGGGCGGAAGCCUGAUGCAGCAACGCCGCGUGCGGGAUGACGGCCUUCGGGUUGUAAACCGCUUUCGCCUGUGUCGAAGCGUGAGUGACGGUAAUGGGUAAAGAAGCACCGGCUAACUACGUG
rnacentral:rRNA from 1 species